CCUACGGGGGGCAGCAGUGAGGAAUAUUGGUCAAUGGACGAGAGUCUGAACCAGCCAAGUAGCGUGAAGGAUGACUGCCCUAUGGGUUGUAAACUUCUUUUAUAUGGGAAUAAAAUGUUCCACGUGUGGGAUUUUGUAUGUACCAUAUGAAUAAGGAUCGGCUAACUCCGUGCCAGCAGCCGCGGUAAUACGGAGGAUCCGAGCGUUAUCCGGAUUGAUUGGGUUUAAAGGGAGCGUAGGAGGGUUGUUAAGUCAGUUGUGAAAGUUUGCGGCUCAACCGUAAAAUUGCAGUUGAAACUGGCAGUCUUGAGUACAGUAGAGGUGGGCGGAAUUCGUGGUGUAGCGGUGAAAUGCUUAGAUAUCACGAAGAACUCCGAUUGCGAAGGCAGCUCACUGGACUGCAACUGACACUGAGGCUCGAAAGUGUGGGUAUCAAACAGGAUUAGAUACCCCGGUAGUC
rnacentral:rRNA from 1 species